GUCACGUGAUCCUUGGGAGCUCAUGCCUUUGGGAGUCGGAGUCUUGUGUGCUUUCCGGGGAUUUUAGAAUCCUGCACCAAACUGCAGCUGCUAGUUGGAUAGAGUACUAUAGUUAGAGAUGUUGCCUGCUGGGUUCCUCUACCAGGUGUGAGGGGCGAUGCCUGUGAUGUCUGUGUAAAGGGAGGUGAGUAGUCUGUUGGGCUGUUUUGCUUUACUUCCUUGCCGCCCAUGGCCUCGGCUCUUAUUUACAAUGGCAUGGUUAGCUGCUUUCUACCAGGUAAGACGCACUUGUCCAUCCAGGUUGCCUUAUGACAGAGUCAGACCAUUGGUCCACCUAGCUCAGUAUUGUCUACACGGACUGGCAGCAGCUCUGUAGAGGUUCAGGCAGGAGACGCUCCCAGCCCUGGCAGGAGAUGCUAGGGAUUGAACCUGAGACUGGUAUAAAGAGGUGUGGGAAAUAGCUAUUACAGUGGUACCUCGGGUUACAUACGCUUCAGUUUACAUACGCUUCAGGUUACAGACUCCGCUAACCCAGAAAUAGUGCUUCAGGUUAAGAACUUUGCUUCAGGAUGAGAACAGAAAUCGUGCUCCAGCGGCGCGGCAGCAGGAGGCCCCAUUAGCUAAAGUGGUGCUUCAGGUUAAGAACAGUUUCAGGUUAAGAACGGACCUCCAGAACGAAUUAAGUACUUAACCCGAGGUACCGCCGUAAUAGUAAAUUAGCAUGUGCUGUUAAGGUAAGACGGGGAACAUGCAGGAGAAAUAAUUUUGAGUAGAUAUGGAAGGUGUUUGUAGAAUUUGUACUGUUAAAAUGGCCAGGGGUCAAACCAUCGCAAGAGGUGAUGAAAUUUUUGGAGGCUGGAUAGUUACAAUGGAAUGGUCUCGGGGGUGGGGUGCACAUUUUUAUUCUUAUUUAUUUAUUAUUAUUACUUUGUCAAAAUAAUAAAAUUAUAUAAAUAUCUGAGACUUUCACUGGUAUGAUCGGAUAGAACAAGGAGUAUUCACUGCUUGCCAGUAUUGGCAAUACUGAGCUAUAUAGACCAAAGGUUUGUCUGGGUAUGUAGGGCAGCUUCCCGCGUUGCUUUCUCACCAUUGUUGUUGUUGUUUAGUCGUGUCCGACUCUUCGUGACCCCAUGGACCAGAGCACGGCAGGCACUCCUGUCUUCCACUGCCUCCCGCAGUUUGGUCAAACUCAUGCUGGUAGCUUCGAGAACACUGUCCAGCCAUCUCGUCCUCUGUCGUUCCCUUCUCCUUGGGCCCUCCAUCUUUCCCAACAUCAGGGUCUUUUCCAGGGAGUCUUCUCUUCUCAUGAGGUGGCCAAAGUAUUGGAGCCUCAGCUUCAGGAUCUGUCCUUCCAGUGAGCACUCAGGGCUGAUUUCCUUCAGAAUGGAUAGGUUUGAUCUUCUUGCAGUCCAUGGGACUCUCAAGAGUCUCCUCCAGCACCAUAAUUCAAAAGCAUCAAUUCUUCGGCGAUCAGCCUUCUUUAUGGUCCAGCUCUCACUUCCAUACAUCACUAUUACCUCACCAUUACCUGAUCUUUAAAAAACCCAAAACAAAACAACCCUGGAGAUACUGGAGAUUGAACUGGCGGAUGGGGGCUUGCAAAACACAUGUUCUACCACCAAUCAUUCAUCAGCAGAGAUCACUUCAGAUUGGUAACCGCGUUAAGAUUUUUGCAGCAAAGACAACAUCAAAGAACCUGGCAAUUUCUGAAGAGACAAACAGAUUUUGAAGCAAUUUUAAAGUAACAUUUGUAUGACUCAUUUUAGGAAUGUUUGGGUGCCUAAUUCCUUGAUUGUUUGUUUGCUUGUUUAAAGCUUUAUAAAUUGCAUUCUUGUU